AUACGUAGGUGACAAGCGUUAUCCGGAUUUACUGGGCGUAAAGAGCUCGUAGGUGGUUUGUCGCGUCGUCUGUGAAAUUCCGGGGCUUAACUCCGGGCGUGCAGGCGAUACGGGCAUAGCUUGAGUACUGUAGGGGAGACUGGAAUUCCUGGUGUAGCGGUGAAAUGCGCAGAUAUCAGGAGGAACACCGGUGGCGAAGGCGGGUCUCUGGGCAGUAACUGACGCUGAGGAGCGAAAGCAUGGGUAGCGAACAGGAUUAGAUACCCUGGUAGUCCAUGCCGUAAACGGUGGGCGCUAGGUGUAGGGGUCUUCCACGACUUCUGUGCCGUAGCUAACGCAUUAAGCGCCCCGCCUGGGGAGUACGGCCGCAAGGCUAAAACUCAAAUGAAUUGACGGGG
rnacentral:rRNA from 1 species